rnacentral:rRNA from 1 species
UACGAAGGGUGCAAGCGUUACUCGGAAUCACUGGGCGUAAAGCGUGCGUAGGCGGUUCGUUAAGUCUGCUGUGAAAGCCCUGGGCUCAACCUGGGAACUGCAGUGGAUACUGGCGGACUAGAGUGUGAUAGAGGAUGGUGGAAUUCCCGGUGUAGCGGUAAAAUGCGUAGAUAUCGGGAGGAACACCUGUGGCGAAAGCGGCUCACUGGACCACAACUGACGCUGAGGCGCGAAAGCUAGGGGAGCAAACAGG